rnacentral:rRNA from 1 species
GGUUAAGUGACUAAGCGUACACGGUGGAUGCCUUGGCAGUCAGAGGCGAUGAAAGACGUAGUAACUUGCGAUAAGCCCAGAUUAGGUAGUAACAACCAUUUGAGUCUGGGAUUUCUGAAUGGGGAAACCCACGUGCAUAAGCACGUAUCCUUACCUGAAUACAUAGGGUAAGGAGGCGAACCGGGGGAACUGAAACAUCUAAGUACCCCGAGGAAAAGAAAUCAACCGAGAUUCCGAAAGUAGCGGCGAGCGAAAUUGGACUAGCCCUUAAGCUUUACACGCGUUAGACGAACGGUCUGGAAAGUCCGACGAUACAGGGUGAUAGUCCCGUAGUUGACGACGUGUGUUCAGUGAAAUCGAGUAGGGCGGGACACGUGAUAUCCUGUCUGAAUAUGGGGGGACCAUCCUCCAAGGCUAAAUACUACUGACUGACCGAUAGUGAACCAGUACCGUGAGGGAAAGGCGAAAAGAACCCCUGUGAGGGGAGUGAAAUAGAACCUGAAACCGUGUACGUACAAGCAGUAGGAGCAGGCUUGUCCUGUGACUGCGUACCUUUUGUAUAAUGGGUCAGCGACUUAUAUUCAGUGGCAAGGUUAACCAUCUAGGGGAGCCGUAGGGAAACCGAGUCUUAACUGGGCGUUCAGUCUCUGGAUAUAGACCCGAAACCAGGUGAUCUAGCCAUGGGCAGGUUGAAGGUUGAGUAACAUCAACUGGAGGACCGAACCGACUAAUGUUGAAAAAUUAGCGGAUGACUUGUGGCUAGGGGUGAAAGGCCAAUCAAACCUGGAGAUAGCUGGUUCUCCCCGAAAGCUAUUUAGGUAGCGCCUCGGACGAAUACUACUGGGGGUAGAGCACUGUUAAGGCUAGGGGGUCAUCCCGACUUACCAACCCUUUGCAAACUCCGAAUACCAGUAAGUACUAUCCGGGAGACACACGGCGGGUGCUAACGUCCGUCGUGGAGAGGGAAACAACCCAGACCGCCAGCUAAGGUCCCAAAUUACUACUAAGUGGGAAACGAUGUGGGAAGGCUCAGACAGCCAGGAUGUUGGCUUAGAAGCAGCCAUCAUUUAAAGAAAGCGUAAUAGCUCACUGGUCGAGUCGGCCUGCGCGGAAGAUGUAACGGGGCUAAGUAGUAAACCGAAGCUGCGGCAAUAUACUUUUGUAUAUUGGGUAGGGGAGCGUUCUGUAAGCGGUUGAAGGUGUGUGGUAACGCAUGCUGGACGUAUCAGAAGUGCGAAUGCUGACAUGAGUAACGAUAAAGGGGGUGAAAAACCUCCUCGCCGGAAGACCAAGGGUUCCUGUCCAACGUUAAUCGGGGCAGGGUAAGUCGACCCCUAAGGCGAGGCCGAAAGGCGUAGUCGAUGGGAAACGGGUUAAUAUUCCCGUACUUCUUACAAUUGCGAUGGGGGGACGGAGAAGGCUAGGUGGGCCUGGCGACGGUUGUCCAGGUUCAAGUGCGUAGGCUUAAGAGUUAGGUAAAUCCGGCUCUUUUUAAGGCUGAGACACGACGUCGAGCACCUACGGGUGUGAAGUCAUUGAUGCCAUGCUUCCAGGAAAAGCCUCUAAGCUUCAGAUUGUAAGGAAUCGUACCCCAAACCGACACAGGUGGUCGGGUAGAGAAUACCAAGGCGCUUGAGAGAACUCGGGUGAAGGAACUAGGCAAAAUGGUACCGUAACUUCGGGAGAAGGUACGCUCUCGACGGUGAAGUCCCUCGCGGAUGGAGCUAUUGAGAGUCGCAGAUACCAGGUGGCUGCAACUGUUUAUUAAAAACACAGCACUGUGCAAAAUCGUAAGAUGACGUAUACGGUGUGACGCCUGCCCGGUGCCGGAAGGUUAAUUGAUGGGGUUAGACUUCGGUCGAAGCUCUUGAUCGAAGCCCCGGUAAACGGCGGCCGUAACUAUAACGGUCCUAAGGUAGCGAAAUUCCUUGUCGGGUAAGUUCCGACCUGCACGAAUGGCGUAAUGAUGGCCACGCUGUCUCCACCCGAGACUCAGUGAAAUUGAAAUCGCUGUGAAGAUGCAGUGUACCCGCGGCUAGACGGAAAGACCCCGUGAACCUUUACUACAGCUUGGCACUGAACAUUGACCCUACAUGUGUAGGAUAGGUGGGAGGCUUUGAAGCACGUACGCCAGUAUGUGUGGAGCCGUCCUUGAAAUACCACCCUUGUAGUGUUGAUGUUCUAACGUCGACCCCUUAUCGGGGUUGCGGACAGUGCCUGGUGGGUAGUUUGACUGGGGCGGUCUCCUCCCAAAGAGUAACGGAGGAGCACGAAGGUGGGCUAAUCACGGUUGGACAUCGUGAGGUUAGUGCAAUGGCAUAAGCCCGCUUGACUGCGAGAAUGACAAUUCGAGCAGGUGCGAAAGCAGGUCAUAGUGAUCCGGUGGUUCUGAAUGGAAGGGCCAUCGCUCAACGGAUAAAAGGUACUCCGGGGAUAACAGGCUGAUACCGCCCAAGAGUUCAUAUCGACGGCGGUGUUUGGCACCUCGAUGUCGGCUCAUCACAUCCUGGGGCUGAAGUCGGUCCCAAGGGUAUGGCUGUUCGCCAUUUAAAGUGGUACGCGAGCUGGGUUUAGAACGUCGUGAGACAGUUCGGUCCCUAUCUGCCGUGGGCGUUGGAAGAUUGAAGGGGGCUGCUCCUAGUACGAGAGGACCGGAGUGGACGAACCUCUGGUGUUCGGGUUGUGUCGCCAGACGCAUUGCCCGGUAGCUAAGUUCGGAAUCGAUAACCGCUGAAAGCAUCUAAGCGGGAAGCGAGCCCUGAGAUGAGUCUUCCCUGAUACUUUAAGUAUCCUAAAGGGUUGUCGGAGACUACGACGUUGAUAGGUCAGGUGUGUAAGUGCUGUGAGGCAUUGAGCUAACUGAUACUAAUUGCCCGUGAGGCUUAACCAU